rnacentral:tRNA from 1 species
AAUAAAGUGUCCGAAAAAAUAGGUAGAAAACUGUAAAUUUUCUUAUGAGAAUUCUCUCCUUUAUUA